UACGGGGGGAGCAAGCGUUGUUCGGAUUUACUGGGCGUAAAGGGCGCGUAGGCGGCCACGACAAGUCAGUUGUGAAAUCUCCGGGCUUAACUCGGAACGGUCAAGUGAUACUGUCGUGCUAGAGUACAGAAGGGGCAACUGGAAUUCUCGGUGUAGCGGUGAAAUGCGUAGAUAUCGAGAGGAACACCUGCGGCGAAGGCGGGUUGCUGGGCUGAUACUGACGCUGAGGCGCGAAAGCUAGGGGGAGCGAACGGGG
rnacentral:rRNA from 1 species